rnacentral:lncRNA from 1 species
CUAAGAAAAUAUCUAAAAAAUUACCUGAGAGAAAAGACAAAUUACCUACGAAAAAAAUGACAAACGGCAAGCUUAGCAAAAGUAAUAUUAGAAAUCAGAAGGUGAUAAAAUAACCUUCAGAGUUCUGAGAAGAAAUAAUUGUCAAUUUAAAAUUCUAUUCCCAGUUAUCUCUCAAAGUAUGGUUAAAAAAAAGACAUUUGCAGACAAAGCUAAGAAUGUCUACUAACAAAUUUAAGCUAUAUACUAUAAAAUAUAUUUCUGAAAAAAAUACAAACCAUGAAAGAAGGUGUAGGAAGAAAUGAGGGAAAAAAGAUACUAAUAAAUGUAUCUUUAUUAGCUAGCUUAUUUAUUCAGACUAAAAUAUGUUUUGAAAACUAUGUGUUCAGAAGCAUUAAUAUAAAAGGGUAUGUGUAAGUGUCAUAUUUCUAGUAGGAGAAAGAUAUGAUAAAUCAUCACUAAUUUGUGAAUUUAAAUAAAAUUUAUACCUAAAGUACUAGGCAAAGUAAAUAAAUAAAAGGUCAGACAUAAAUGAUGAUUAGAGUUAAAGUUGAUGUGAAAUUCUCUUUUCUUUUUUUGGAGUAGAGAGAUCUUUUUUCCUAACUUUAGAUUUUAAGUUAAAUAUCCUUAUUUAAAGACUAUAAAUGAAUGAAUAUAUUCUAGGCUGGUAGAAAAACUGGGGAUAAAGGAAACUUAAUUUGAUAGAAAAGAGAAAGGAAGGGGAAAUAGCUUUUUAAUGCAUAGUAAAUAAAAAGCACAAACUUGUAUAUAAUAAGCUCAGGUAAAAUAUGCUGAUCAUACUGAAUUAAAAUAUACUAUUUAAAUAAAUUUUCUUUUCUAUGGAAAGGUUCAUUUGUGCCAUAUAUUAGAUUCCAGAUAUAAGUGAUAUCAUAUGGUAUUUGUCUUUCUCUUUCUGACUUACUUUACUCAGUAUGAGAGUUUCUAGAGGGGGAGGGAGUGGGAUGGAUUGGGAGUUUGGGGUUAUAAUAGAUGCAGACUAUUGCCUUUGGAAUGGAUUAGCAAUGAGAUCCUGCUGUGUAGCGCUGGAAACUAUGUCUAGUCACUUGUGAUGGAACAAUGUGAGAAAAAAAGAAUGUAUACAUGUAUAUGUAACAGGGUCCCCAGGCUGUACAUAGAAAAAAAAAUAAUGUAUUGGGGAAAUAA